rnacentral:rRNA from 1 species
UACGAAGGGUGCAAGCGUUAAUCGGAAUUACUGGGCGUAAAGCGUGCGCAGGCGGCUUUGCAAGACAGAUGUGAAAUCCCCGGGCUCAACCUGGGAACUGCAUUUGUGACUGCAAGGCUAGAGUACGGCAGAGGGGGAUGGAAUUCCGCGUGUAGCAGUGAAAUGCGUAGAUAUGCGGAGGAACACCGAUGGCGAAGGCAAUCCCCUGGGCCUGUACUGACGCUCAUGCACGAAAGCGUGGGGAGCAAACAGG